rnacentral:rRNA from 1 species
GGUGUGACGGCGUGCCUUUUGAAGAAUGAGCCUGCGAGUUAGCGGUACGUGGCGAGGUUAACCCGUGUGGGGUAGCCGUAGCGAAAGCGAGUCCGAAUAGGGCGACCAUAGUCGCGUGUCCUAGACCCGAAGCGAAGUGAUCUAGCCAUGGGCAGGGUGAAGCGUCGGUAAGACGACGUGGAGGCCCGAACCCACUUCAGUUGAAAAUGGAGGGGAUGACCUGUGGUUAGGGGUGAAAGGCCAAUCAAACUUCGUGAUAGCUGGUUCUCCCCGAAAUGCAUUUAGGUGCAGCGUUGCGUGUUUCUUACCGGAGGUAGAGCUACUGGAUGGCUGAUGGGCCCAAAAAGGUUACUGACGUCAACCAAACUCCGAAUGCCGGUAAGUGUAAGCGUGGCAGUGAGACUGCGGGGGAUAAGCUUCGUAGUCGAGAGGGAAACAGCCCAGACCAUCAACUAAGGCCCCUAAGCGUGUGCUCAGUGGGAAAGCAUGUGGAGUUGCUUAGACAACCAGGAGGUUGGCUUAGAAGCAGCCACCCUUGAAAGAGUGCGUAAUAGCUCACUGGUCAAGUGAUUCUGCGGCGAUAAUGUAGCGGGGCUCAAGUACACCGCCGAAGUUGUGGCAUUGCUCUUGUGAUCGGCUGGCAUCCUUUGGGGUGUUGGUCCAGUCGGAGUGAUGGGUAGGGGAGCGUCGUGUGGGUGGUGAAGCUGCGGAGUGAUCCAGUGGUGGAACCUACACGAGUGAGAAUGCAGGCAUGAGUAGCGAAAGACGGGUGAGAAACCCGUCCGCCGAAUGACCAAGGGUUCCAGGGCUAGGCUAAUCCGCCCUGGGUGAGUCGGGACCUAAGGCGAGGCCGACAGGCGUAGUCGAUGGACAACGGGUUAUUAUUCCCGUACCGGCGAAGAACCGUCCAUACCGAGGCUGGGGAUACUAACCAUCCACUCGGCACCGUUUGCGUCAUCAUGUCCACUUGUGGGUGUGGUGGUGUUGGUGUUGAGUGCGUGGGACCUGAUCUGGUAGUAGGUAAGCGUGUUAACAGGUGUGACGCAGGAAGGUAGCCAAGCCGCGCGAUGGUUGUCGCGGUCUAAGGUGGUAGGGCGAGUCAUAGGCAAAUCCGUGACUCAUGUGCCUGAGAGCUGAUGGGACCCCACAUAGAGUGGGGGAUUUGGUGAUCCUAUGCUGCCGAGAAAAGCAUCGACGUGAGGUUCUAGCCGCCCGUACCCUAAACCAACUCAGGUGGUCAGGUAGAGAAUACUAAGGCGAUCGAGAGAAUCGUGGUUAAGGAACUCGGCAAAAUGCCCCCGUAACUUCGGGAGAAGGGGGGCCCGGACCGUGAACCAUCUUUGCGGUGGGGAGCGGGUAUGGGCCGCAGAGACCAGAGAGAAGCGACUGUUUACUAAAAACACAGGUCCGUGCGAAGUUGUAAGACGAUGUAUACGGACUGACGCCUGCCCGGUGCUGGAAGGUUAAGAGGACCUGUUAGACCCUUUCGGGGGUUGAAGCGGAGAAUUUAAGCCCCAGUAAACGGCGGUGGUAACUAUAACCAUCCUAAGGUAGCGAAAUUCCUUGUCGGGUAAGUUCCGACCUGCACGAAUGGCGUAACGACUCCCCUGCUGUCUCAACCACAGGCCCGGCGAAAUUGCAGUACGAGUAAAGAUGCUCGUUACGCGCGGCAGGACGAAAAGACCCCGGGACCUUCACUAUAGCUUGGUAUUGGUGUUCGGUUCGGUUUGUGUAGGAUAGGUGGGAGACUGUGAAGCUGACACGCUAGUGUUGGUGGAGUCGUUGUUGAAAUACCACUCUGGUCAUAUUGGAUAUCUAACUACGGACCCUGAUCGGGUUCUGGGACAGUGCCUGGUGGGUAGUUUAACUGGGGCGGUUGCCUCC